rnacentral:rRNA from 1 species
GAUGAACGCUGGCGGCGUGCCUAAUACAUGCAAGUCGAGCGAAUGGAUUAAGAGCUUGCUCUUAUGAAGUUAGCGGCGGACGGGUGAGUAACACGUGGGUAACCUGCCCAUAUGACUGGGAUAACUCCGGGAAACCGGGGCUAAUACCGGAUAACAUUUUGAACCGCAUGGUUCGAAAUUGAAAGGCGGCUUCGGCUGUCACUUAUGGAUGGACCCGCGUCGCAUUAGCUAGUUGGUGAGGUAACGGCUCACCAAGGCAACGAUGCGUAGCCGACCUGAGAGGGUGAUCGGCCAAAAGGGGACUGAGACACGGCCCAGACUCCUGCGGGAGGCAGCAGUAGGGAAUCUUCCGCAAUGGACGAAAGUCUGACGGAGCAACGCCGCGUGAGGGAUGAAGGCUUUCGGGUCGUAAAACUCUGUUGUUAGGGAAGAACAAGUGCUAGUUGAAUAAGCUGACACCUUGACGGUACCUAACCAGAAAGCCACGGCUAACUACGUGCCAGCCGCCGCCGUAA